GAUGCUGGGGGAUGGGGUCUACGGUUAAAGAAAAGUCUGUCUUUGCUGGUAUCUCAGACCCAUAAGUCAGGACUCUGCGAUGGGCAGCUAGACAAGAGCUGUGUGACCCAGGAGAAGCUGCUGCAUCUCUGAGCCCCAGUUUCCUUGGACUGAGACAGGAGGCACAUCCGUCUUCUGAUUCUUUGUGCCUGACAGCAACAAUCCGGACAGAUGCUUUCUCAUUUGUCUUUGGGAGUCUGCUCUCAUCCCCCCAAUUUCUCUGCCAAGGGACUGCCGCCA